rnacentral:rRNA from 1 species
ACACGACUACAUUAGAUACCCGUGUAGUCCUAGCCGUAAACGAUACUCGCUAGGUGUCGGCCACGGUGCGACCGUUGUCGGUGCCGGAGAGAAGUUGUUAAGCCUGCUGCUUGGGGAGUACGUCCGCAAGGAUGAAACUUAAAGGAAUUGGCGGGGGAGCACCGCAACGGGAGGAGCGUGCGGUUCAAUUGGAUUCAACGCCGGACAACUCACCAGGAGCGACGGUUACAUGAAGGCCAGGCUGAUGACCUUGCCUGAUUUUCCG